ensembl:lncRNA
CACCAUCACUUUGACUGUACCUACUACCUCAAACAGAACCACUACAACUUCUACUGAACCUAGUGCCACAGCUACAAUCAUCACUUCUAGAAAAUCCACCAACACACCAACCAACACCACUUCCACUGAACCAACCACAAUGGCCACCAUCAAAACAAACACUGAACUUUAUACCACUUCCACAGAAUCCAUAGCAGCCACCAUCAUUACUUCCACUGAAUCAGCCACAGUAACAAACAAAAUCACAAAGCCUACCACUACAUCAACCAUCACCAUGUCCAAAGAAUCCCCCACCACAUCAAUCAGCCUCGCUACUACAGAAUCCACCACAUUAGCAAGCAGCACCACUUCCACUGAUCUCAAUACUACAGCAACCACUACCUCUGUAACUGAAUCUACUACCACAGCAGGAACCACUACAACUUCCAUACAACCCACAGCCACAGCAACAAUCAACACUUCUUCAGAAUCCAUCACCACAGGAACCACCACUUCUACCAAACCCAACACCAGAGAAACUACCACCACUUCCAUAGAACCCACCACCAAGGCAGCUACCAUUACUACUUCCACAGAACAUUAUGCAACUACCACAGAAUCUACUAUACCAGCCAUCAUUAAAGAGCCAACCACCACAGUAACCAUCACCAAUUCAACUGGACCUACCACCAAAACAGCAAUUAUUACCACAGAACCCUAUCCCACUUCCAAAAAACCCACCACCACCACAGCAGUCAUCACUUCCACGGAUUCCACUACCAUAGCAACUACCACCAUUUCCACAGAACCCAUCACCACAACAGCAACCAUCACUUCCACAGAGCCUUCCACUGCCAUAACCACUGCUACUUCCACAGAAUUUCCCACCACAGCAACCACCACUACUACAGAACCUGCCACAAUAGAAACCACGGCUGUUUCCACUGAACACAUCACCAUAGCAACCAUUAUCAUUUCAACUGAACCUACUACAGCAGAAACCACUUCUAGAGAUACCACCAGCACAGCAACAAUCAUUACUUCCACAGAACCCACCACUGCAGCAAUCAACACCACUGCAACUGAAUCUGCCACCACAACAGGAUCAACCACAACUUCCACAGAUAUCACCACCACCAUAGGAACAAAUAUCAGUUCUACAGAGUCCAACACCACUUUCACAGAACCCUAUAUCACUUCUGUACCAUCCACCACAGCAACCAUAUUUACUUCCACAGAACCCACAACAAUAGCAACCACUGCAACUUCCAUAUCACCCACCACCACAAUGGCAACAAUCAGUUCCACAGAGCCCAACACUACAGCAAUUGCCACCACUUCAUCUGAACCUGCCACCACAAUACAAAUCACAACCACUUCCAUAGGACCUACUACCAAAGAAACAACUAUCACUUCCAAAGAUUCAACCAAAAUACCAACCACCACCACUUUAACUGAGCCUACCACCAAAACAGCAACCAUCAUCACUUCCAUAGGACCCUACACUGCUUCCAUGGAAUUUACCAUGAUAGCAACCACCACCAAUUCCACAGGACCCACCACUUCAACAGCAUCCAUCACUACCACAGAUUCUACCACCACAGCAACCACUACUACUUCCGUGGAGACCCCCA